AGGAACAAAGGAAUCUGUAACUGGUUGUGAUCAAUUAGCUGUAACCCCCCUGCGCUGGCACCUACCCACUCUGUCUUCUUGAUUACCGUUUCUUUAUGUUUCUGUAGGCCUUGACUUCAGAUAGCUGCGCGUUUCUGGACUUGCCCUGUUCUGAAGGAGAGCCUUGCUGCCUUGAUCAAAGUUACACACCUCUUUUGCCCAGGUUAGGCCAUAUCCAGUGAUUGGUCAAAUUAGGUAGAAAGGCCCAAUUCCCUGUGCCACUUCUGGGACACCCUGAAGGAUGGAAUGAGUCCCUUCCCCACUGCCACAGAUGCUCUCCUUCUCAGAGACUGCUUCCCACAGGCAAACUGACGGACAAUAAUAAUUCAGUGUCCCCUGAUUUCACCUGCCAAAUCUCGGUCCACAGUAUGUUGUUCCCACUCAUAUCAGCAAAGCGGGUGACAAAGUGCCAAGUGAUGAGAAUCCCAUUGCGGAAGCGUCAUGGGUUGGAUUCUGUGAAGACAAAUUCUGAGACACAUUCUGCAGGAUGUUUAUUAGGACACACCUCGGUUUCAACCCCUGCAGUGAGAAGGAUAAGAAGGAAGUAGACUGAGCAGAGGACAAGCUGAGAUGCAUUUCAGGCCAGAGACUGCUUGGCUGACCCCAUGGGAGCUCUGGAGUGAGAAUGGUUGGGCCAAGAUGUCCAGAUCCUGAUAUUCCUGCAUGGGACAGUCACUGGAUAUGGGCCAUCCCAGAAAGGGGGGCAUACGAGGUACUGCCUCAAAUGCCAACUGCAUUCCUAUAGCUGGAACACAACCAAGGUAGAGCGGGCUACAUCUGGGUGGUAAAUCACAAUGUACAGCUCAGAAGACAAGUGUACCAAGUUUGCUGACUUCCUAUGGUCUAAAUGUUUGUAUUCCCCAAAAUUCAUAUGUUGAAACUUAAUCCCCAAUAUGAUGGCAUUAGGUGGGGUCAUUGAGAUGUGAUUUGGUCAAGAGAGGGGAACCCUCAUCAAUGGGAUUAGUGCCUUUAUAAAGGGGAUCCCACAGAGCUGCCUUGACCAUUCACCACAUGAAGACAUAGCUAGAAGGCAACCCCUGCAGAUGAGGAAGUGGGCCUUCACCAAACACUCAAUCUGCCAGUAUCUUGAUCUUGGACUUCUCAGUCCCCAGAGUGCUAAGAAAUAAAUUUCUAUUGGUUAUCAGCCA